rnacentral:piRNA from 1 species
UUCACCCUGCACACCAGC